CGUGUAGGCGGUUUAAUAAGUCAGAUGUUAAAGCCCCCGGCUUAACCGGGGAUAGUCAUUUGAAACUGUUAGGCUUGAGUGCGAGAGAGGGUAGCGGAAUUCCCAGUGUAGCGGUGAAAUGCGUAGAUAUUGGGAAGAACACCAGUAGCGAAGGCGGCUACCUGGCUCGCAACUGACGCUAAUGCGCGAAAGCGUGGGGAGCAAACA
rnacentral:rRNA from 1 species